UACGAAGGGGGCUAGCGUUGCUCGGAAUCACUGGGCGUAAAGGGUGCGUAGGCGGGUCUUUAAGUCAGGGGUGAAAUCCUGGAGCUCAACUCCAGAACUGCCUUUGAUACUGAAGAUCUUGAGUUCGGGAGAGGUGAGUGGAACUGCGAGUGUAGAGGUGAAAUUCGUAGAUAUUCGCAAGAACACCAGUGGCGAAGGCGGCUCACUGGCCCGAUACUGACGCUGAUGCGCGAAAGCGUGGGUAGCAAACAGG
rnacentral:rRNA from 1 species